rnacentral:lncRNA from 1 species
GGCAGUCAGUUACCUAUCACAACACCAUCACAGCCCAGCAAGAGUGUGGCUAACCCUUGAGCAGUAUUAAGAUGUCUUGGUUACUGAGUUAAAUAGUGCUAAGGAUUCAAGAAAUGUACUUGUAUUGACAAGUUACUAUAUAUUUAGAAGGAAGAAUAAUAAGGUACAGCGUCUCAUUGAUUCCCAUUAGUACUCAUUUAUGGCAUUAACCUUCAUUAAGUGUGUCUCUGUAUUCCUCCCCUAGGGUUCUCUAAAUGCCAUGUGGUAUGCAGAGGUUAAGGAGCUCCGGGAAAAGGCUGAGUCCUAUCGGAAGCGAGUUCAGGGGACGCAUUUUUCUCGGGACCAUCUGAAUCAGAUUAUGUCUGACAGCAACUGCUGUUGGGAUGUCUCCUCAGUCGCAAGCUCGGAAGGCACCAUUAGUAGCAACAUCCAAGCCCUGGAUCUUGCUGGAGAUCUUACAAGCCACAGGACCCUCCAGAAACACCCUCCUACCAAACUGGAAGAGAAAAAAGUUGCAUUGGCAGAACA